GACGAACGCUGGCGGCGUGCUUAACACAUGCAAGUCGAACGGAAAGGCCCUGCUUUUGUGGGGUGCUCGAGUGGCGAACGGGUGAGUAACACGUGAGUAACCUGCCCUUGACUUUGGGAUAUCUUCAGGAAACUGGUGCUAAUACCGGAUAGGCGCUCCUGCUGCAUGGUGGGGGUUGGACAGUUUCGGCGGUUGGGGAUGGACUCGCGGCUUAUCAGCUUGUUGGUGGGGUGGUGGCUUACCAAGGCUUUGACGGGUAGCCGGCCUGAGAGGGUGACCGGCCACAUUGGGACGGAGAGACGGCCCAGAGUGCUACGGGAGGCAGGAGUGGGGAAUAUUGCACAAAGGGCGGAAGCCUGAUGCAGAAACGCCGCGUGCGGGAUGACGGCCUUCGGGUUGUAAACCGCUUUCGCCUGUGACGAAGCGUGAGGGACGGUAAUGGGAAAAGAAGCACCGGCUAACUACGU
rnacentral:rRNA from 1 species